rnacentral:SRP_RNA from 1 species
CCAGUGGGCUCGGACGGCGUUAUACCGUGAACCUGGUCAGGACCGGAAGGUAGCAGCCAUAAGCGGUCACUGAUGGGUGUCCGAGUCCACUGGGCG